GACGAACGCUGGCGGCGUGCUUAACACAUGCAAGUCGAACGGGAAAGGCCUGCAUUUGUGGGGUGCUCGAGUGGCGAACGGGUGAGGAACACGCGAGUAACCUGCCCCUGACUAUGGGAUAACUUCAGGAAACAGGGGCUAAUACCGGAUAGGAGCUCCUGCUGCAUGGUGGGGGGUGGAAAGUUUCGGCGGAUGGGGAUGGACUCGCGGCUUAUCAUCUUGUUGGUGGGGUCGUGGCUUACCAAGGCUUUGACGGGUAGCCGGCCUGUGGGGGGGAACGGCCACAUUGGGACUGGGGUACGGCCCAGUAUCGUAAGGAGGGAAGGAGUGGGGAAUAUUGCAGAAUGGGCGGAAGCCUGAUGCAGCAACGCGGAGUGCGGGAUGACGGCCUUCAAGUUGUGAACCGCGUUCGCAAGUGACGAAGCGUGAGUGACGGUUAUGGGUGGAGAAGCGCCGGCUAACUCCGUG
rnacentral:rRNA from 1 species